rnacentral:rRNA from 1 species
UACGUAGGGCGCAAGCGUUGUCCGGAAUUAUUGGGCGUAAAGAGCGCGCAGGCGGUCGUUCAAGUCGAGUGUGAAAGCCCCCGGCUCAACUGGGGAGGGUCACUCGAUACUGAUCGACUUGAAGGCAGGAGAGGGAAGCGGAAUUCCCGGUGUAGUGGUGAAAUGCGUAGAUAUCGGGAGGAACACCAGUGGCGAAGGCGGCUUCCUGGCCUGUUCUUGACGCUGAGGCGCGAAAGCUAGGGGAGCAAACGGG